rnacentral:rRNA from 1 species
GCCGAAUAUCCAAGGUUUCCAGAGUAAAGCUGAUCUGCUCUGGGUAAGUCGGGGCCUAAGGCGAGGUCGAAAGACGUAGUCGAUGGAUAACAGGUGGAGAUUCCUGUACUAUGUGUACCCAGAACUGUGGGGACGCAUGUGGAGAGCAUGAGCCGGGAAAGAGAAAACCGGUACAAGCGGGGUAGGAGUAAGGACAGCAAAUCUUCCUUACAAUCCGAAGACGUGAUGUGGACCGAACCAAAGUAGGGAAGCAUGUGAGCCAUGUGCCAAGAAAAGCCGCUAUUGUGAUACACAUACCCGUACCGUAAACCGACACAGGUGGAUGAGGAGAGAAUCCUAAGGCCGACGGAAGAAGCAUUGUUAAGGAACUCGGCAAAAUGACCCCGUAACUUCGGGAGAAGGGGUGCCCUGUGAAAGCAGGGCCGCAGAGAAUAGGCUCAAGCAACUGUUUAGCAAAAACACAGGUCUAUGCGAAACCGAAAGGUGAGGUAUAUGGGCUGACGCCUGCCCGGUGCUGGAAGGUUAAGAGGAGAGGUUAGCGCAAGCGAAGCUUUGAAUUUAAGCCCCAGUAAACGGCGGCCGUAACUAUAACGGUCCUAAGGUAGCGAAAUUCCUUGUCGGGUAAGUUCCGACCCGCACGAAAGGCGUAAUGAUUUGAGCGCUGUCUCGACAAUGCAUCCGGUGAAAUUGAAGUACCAGUGAAGAUGCUGGUUACCUGCGCCAGGACGGAAAGACCCCAUGGAGCUUUACUCCAGCUUGAUACUGGGAUUCGAUACUGUAUGUACAGGAUAGGUGGGAGACGUUGAGCAUAGAACGCCAGUUUUAUGUGAGUCGCUGUUGGGAUACCACCCUUGCAGUAUUGGAUUUCUAACCUGCACCCAUGACCUGGGUGGGGGACAAUGUCUGGCGGGGAGUUUGACUGGGGCGGUCGCCUCCGAAAGGGUAUCGGAGGCGCUCAAAGGUUCCCUCAGAAUGGUUGGAAACCAUUCGAAGAGUGCAAAGGCAGAAGGGAGCUUGACUGCGACACCGACGGGUGGAGCAGGUACGAAAGUAGGACUUAGUGAUCCGGUGGUAUAAAGUGGGAUUGCCAUCGCUCAACGGAUAAAAGCUACCCUGGGGAUAACAGGCUUAUCACUCCCAAGAGUUCACAUCGACGGAGUGGUUUGGCACCUCGAUGUCGGCUCAUCGCAUCCUGGGGCUGUAGUAGGUCCCAAGGGUUGGGCUGUUCGCCCAUUAAAGCGGUACGCGAGCUGGGUUCAGAACGUCGUGAGACAGUUCGGUC